GGUGUCAUAGUAUAGUGGUCAGUACAUCACGUUGUGGAAUAUCAACAGUUCCUCGACCACGGGCAAUUCCGUGAAGACCCCGGUUCGAUUCCGGGUGACGCCA
rnacentral:tRNA from 1 species